GGGGGUGUAGCUAAGGGUUAGAGCGUUCGCUUCGCAUGCGAAAAGUCCGGCGUUCAAUUCCCCGCACCUUCA